UUAAGCGACUAAGCGUACACGGUGGAUGCCCUGGCAGUCAGAGGCGAUGAAGGACGUGCUAAUCUGCGAUAAGCGUCGGUAAGGUGAUAUGAACCGUUAUAACCGGCGAUUUCCGAAUGGGGAAACCCAGUGUGUUUCGACACACUAUCAUUAACUGAAUCCAUAGGUUAAUGAGGCGAACCGGGGGAACUGAAACAUCUAAGUACCCCGAGGAAAAGAAAUCAACCGAGAUUCCCCCAGUAGCGGCGAGCGAACGGGGAGCAGCCCAGAGCCUGAAUCAGUGUGUGUGUUAGUGGAAGCGUCUGGAAAGGCGCGCGAUACAGGGUGACAGCCCCGUACACAAAAAUGCACAUAUUGUGAGCUCGAUGAGUAGGGCGGGACACGUGGUAUCCUGUCUGAAUAUGGGGGGACCAUCCUCCAAGGCUAAAUACUCCUGACUGACCGAUAGUGAACCAGUACCGUGAGGGAAAGGCGAAAAGAACCCCGGCGAGGGGAGUGAAAAAGAACCUGAAACCGUGUACGUACAAGCAGUGGGAGCACGCUUAGGCGUGUGACUGCGUACCUUUUGUAUAAUGGGUCAGCGACUUAUAUUCUGUAGCAAGGUUAACCGAAUAGGGGAGCCGAAGGGAAACCGAGUCUUAACUGGGCGUUAAGUUGCAGGGUAUAGACCCGAAACCCGGUGAUCUAGCCAUGGGCAGGUUGAAGGUUGGGUAACACUAACUGGAGGACCGAACCGACUAAUGUUGAAAAAUUAGCGGAUGACUUGUGGCUGGGGGUGAAAGGCCAAUCAAACCGGGAGAUAGCUGGUUCUCCCCGAAAGCUAUUUAGGUAGCGCCUCGUGAACUCAUCUCCGGGGGUAGAGCACUGUUUCGGCAAGGGGGUCAUCCCGACUUACCAACCCGAUGCAAACUGCGAAUACCGGAGAAUGUUAUCACGGGAGACACACGGCGGGUGCUAACGUCCGUCGUGAAGAGGGAAACAACCCAGACCGCCAGCUAAGGUCCCAAAGUCAUGGUUAAGUGGGAAACGAUGUGGGAAGGCCCAGACAGCCAGGAUGUUGGCUUAGAAGCAGCCAUCAUUUAAAGAAAGCGUAAUAGCUCACUGGUCGAGUCGGCCUGCGCGGAAGAUGUAACGGGGCUAAACCAUGCACCGAAGCUGCGGCAGCGACGCUUAUGCGUUGUUGGGUAGGGGAGCGUUCUGUAAGCCUGUGAAGGUGUGCUGUGAGGCAUGCUGGAGGUAUCAGAAGUGCGAAUGCUGACAUAAGUAACGAUAAAGCGGGUGAAAAGCCCGCUCGCCGGAAGACCAAGGGUUCCUGUCCAACGUUAAUCGGGGCAGGGUGAGUCGACCCCUAAGGCGAGGCCGAAAGGCGUAGUCGAUGGGAAACAGGUUAAUAUUCCUGUACUUGGUGUUACUGCGAAGGGGGACGGAGAAGGCUAUGUUGGCCGGGCGACGGUUGUCCCGGUUUAAGCGUGUAGGCUGGUUUUCCAGGCAAAUCCGGAAAAUCAAGGCUGAGGCGUGAUGACGAGGCACUACGGUGCUGAAGCAACAAAUGCCCUGCUUCCAGGAAAAGCCUCUAAGCAUCAGGUAACAUCAAAUCGUACCCCAAACCGACACAGGUGGUCAGGUAGAGAAUACCAAGGCGCUUGAGAGAACUCGGGUGAAGGAACUAGGCAAAAUGGUGCCGUAACUUCGGGAGAAGGCACGCUGAUAUGUAGGUGAAGUCCCUUGCGGAUGGAGCUGAAAUCAGUCGAAGAUACCAGCUGGCUGCAACUGUUUAUUAAAAACACAGCACUGUGCAAACACGAAAGUGGACGUAUACGGUGUGACGCCUGCCCGGUGCCGGAAGGUUAAUUGAUGGGGUCAGCGCAAGCGAAGCUCUUGAUCGAAGCCCCGGUAAACGGCGGCCGUAACUAUAACGGUCCUAAGGUAGCGAAAUUCCUUGUCGGGUAAGUUCCGACCUGCACGAAUGGCGUAAUGAUGGCCAGGCUGUCUCCACCCGAGACUCAGUGAAAUUGAACUCGCUGUGAAGAUGCAGUGUACCCGCGGCAAGACGGAAAGACCCCGUGAACCUUUACUAUAGCUUGACACUGAACAUUGAGCCUUGAUGUGUAGGAUAGGUGGGAGGCUUUGAAGUGUGGACGCCAGUCUGCAUGGAGCCGACCUUGAAAUACCACCCUUUAAUGUUUGAUGUUCUAACGUUGACCCGUAAUCCGGGUUGCGGACAGUGUCUGGUGGGUAGUUUGACUGGGGCGGUCUCCUCCUAAAGAGUAACGGAGGAGCACGAAGGUUGGCUAAUCCUGGUCGGACAUCAGGAGGUUAGUGCAAUGGCAUAAGCCAGCUUGACUGCGAGCGUGACGGCGCGAGCAGGUGCGAAAGCAGGUCAUAGUGAUCCGGUGGUUCUGAAUGGAAGGGCCAUCGCUCAACGGAUAAAAGGUACUCCGGGGAUAACAGGCUGAUACCGCCCAAGAGUUCAUAUCGACGGCGGUGUUUGGCACCUCGAUGUCGGCUCAUCACAUCCUGGGGCUGAAGUAGGUCCCAAGGGUAUGGCUGUUCGCCAUUUAAAGUGGUACGCGAGCUGGGUUUAGAACGUCGUGAGACAGUUCGGUCCCUAUCUGCCGUGGGCGCUGGAGAACUGAGGGGGGCUGCUCCUAGUACGAGAGGACCGGAGUGGACGCAUCACUGGUGUUCGGGUUGUCAUGCCAAUGGCACUGCCCGGUAGCUAAAUGCGGAAGAGAUAAGUGCUGAAAGCAUCUAAGCACGAAACUUGCCCCGAGAUGAGUUCUCCCUGACCCUUUAAGGGUCCUGAAGGAACGUUGAAGACGACGACGUUGAUAGGCCGGGUGUGUAAGCGCAGCGAUGCGUUGAGCUAACCGGUACUAAUGAACCGUGAGGCUUAACCUU
rnacentral:rRNA from 1 species